rnacentral:rRNA from 1 species
CUGCAACUCGACUGCAUGAAGCCGGAAUCGCUAGUAAUCGCGGAUCAGAAUGCCGCGGUGAAUACGUUCCCGGGUCUUGUACACACCGCCCGUCACACCAUGGGAGUCGGAAAUGCCCGAAGCCGGUGGCCUAACCGAUAAGGGAGGAGCCGUCGAAGGCAGGUCUGAUGACUGGGGUGAAGUCGUAACAAGGUACC